AGAUCGUGAGAUGGAGCAAAUCCCAAAAAUAAACGUCCCAGUUCGGACUGUAGUCUGCAACCCGACUACACGAAGCUGGAAUCGCUAGUAAUCGCGGAUCAGAAUGCCGCGGUGAAUACGUUCCCGGGUCUUGUACACACCGCCCGUCACACCAUGGGAGUCAGUAACGCCCGAAGUCAGUGACCUAACCGAAAGGGAGGAGCUGCCGAAGGCGGGACGGAUGACUGGGGUGAAGUCGUAACAAGGUAUC
rnacentral:rRNA from 1 species